GAAAAAGUAUAUGCCACAAAAUAUACCUGAUUUUCUCACUUGUGGCCAGCCCUUUAAAUGAUUUGAGUUGUUUCCUUGUUGGGCAUUGGCAAAUGGCACGAAAAUGUGCUCCAAGCAUAAUGAAGCUUCUCAUACCAUUUUUCCUGCUGCUGCAGGACAGGAUGUUGCACCCAACAGUGUAGAAGCAUCAAGGAUGGGGCUGUCGAAACAUACCAAGGACCUUCAACACCAAUCGAUGCAGAUGAAGGGCCAGCUAUAAACUUCUGCAUGCAUGCAGGCUGCAUUUUGUGGCAUCAGCUAUUUCCAGCAUUGCUAAUGUACUGUAGGCAUAUACAUAUGUAUGUAUAUGUAGAUAUAAUAUAUGUGUGUAUAUAUAUAUCCAUUCCCUUUUCUUUCUUUUGGUUGUCAAAUAGUAUGAAGAUCCAAGAUUAUGCAUGAAAUGGUCACAGCACAAUGCAAAAAGUAAAGUGUCCCCUACAACCCAGGUGGCCAAGGGCAUGUUGAAAUUUGCUCUGCUAUAGUUCUGCUUACACCAGCAAUUCUACAGUCAUACAUGGUAGACGCAUGAGAGUUCUUUAUCAUUGAUUUGCACCAUAGAUGGAUUGUAUUGAAUCCAUCAUAAUAGUUCUACCAAAGGUUACUUAUUAACAUGCCACAUAUGCACAAUCUAGCAUUCUUGUAAAUGAGUCUGACGUGUUCAUGUAAACCCAGGGCUAUUUUGACAAGCUUCUGAAAAAUUAAUGAUUCUUUGCCAAGAAAUGUUUAAAGCUUGACUGAAACGUUAAAUUCAUUUUUGUGUUCUGAUUUUGAAAGUUUUUAAUGGCUGUACUAAUAGCUGAAUGUUCUUCAUCAACAGUACGUGAUGUAUUAUAGAACAAGGGUGGCUACUCCUCACAGUAAUAACAACAAAUCUAUGUCUUAAUUGGUCUUCCCUUCCCAAGGGGGAACAUGUUCAUUUUCAUCUGACACUCAUUCUUUUGAGAUUCAUUUGGCUACCUUUAAUCUUCCUCUGUGGAUUAUCUGAAAUGUGGCUUGGCUCUAUGUUUUUCAUACACUAUCAACUCUAUUGAAGCCCAAAUCUACAUAAAUGAAACUUGAAAUCAACCAGUAUUUUCUAGAAAAUAUUUUUAAGUAGAAUCAGAAAAUGCUGGGUGAAUAAAUGUCAAUUUUUAAAUUUUAAAUAUUUUAAAUCAUCAUUUAUUUUUAAAUAGUUAUUAUUGUAUAUCAUAAAAUUUAAAUUUAUGAAACAAAUCCCUUUCACUUAAAAGUAUCCUGCAAUAAAUUUGCAUGGAAUACAGAAUGACUGUCAAUUUGCCAUACUUAAUUUCUUUUCUUUUCCUUCAUAAAUCUCCAACAUUUAUGCAGGGUAAUUAUAAAAAUAAGAGCGCUUAGGAUUUUUCUUUCACUGAAAGCAUUGAGAAUAAAAGCUUAGAAAUGCUACAUGCAAACAAUUUAUUUUGAAUCUGCUCAUUAAAUGAUUCAGAUUAUAAUGAAUUUAUAACAAACUUAUUUACAAGAGUGGUCAUUUGUGGCAUACGUAAUACAUUUAAGUAUUUUACUUUCUAUUAAUCAUUUAGGCAAGAACUAAGAAACUGUAUAUACCAAAUAUUUUAAAUAAAAACCUUAAAAUGGCCUCUAUUUUUGAUUGGUCAAAAUACCUGCACGAUUGGUUGAAACCAAUUGAGAAUUGCUUGUGUAAAUAUCAUUUUAGUAGCUUCAGAAAUGGAGCUGCGACGACUUUGGAGCACUUAUAAAUGGCAUAAAAGCAUUCUGCUGCUCAUCAUAGAGAGAAUGUGUAGGCCAACAAGAGGUAUCUUUGAAACCCCAUGCUUAUUAAAGCACCCUCUACAGCCCUCACGUACACACGAUUCCCACUGACCUCAAUGGGAAAUCCACGUGCGUAAGGGCUGUUGGAUUGAGCCCUAUUAGAGUUGUUUUUUAAGAAACAAAGCUGUAAAUUAGCAAACCUGGUUGGCUGUGGCUGUUGCAGCGAAGGGAACACUUGUGGCAGAUGUUGUUGCUGCGGACACAGUGGCUGGCGUAGCACCGUGCACCAUGGGAACUUUCGGAGGGAAAAUCAUAUAAGCGAACAUACAGAAGAGUGUAGCAAUAUGGAAACCAUGGCAACAUGGAAGAGAUAAUUGGGCAUGGUAUUUAUCACAGCAAUAAGCCAUGUGACAGGACAUCAUCACCAGCGAGUGACAUGCAAUCACAGCGCAAAGCAGGACAACAUUCCAAGGAGAGAAGGGGAGGAGGGAUGAAAGAGAAAAAAAAGGGGGAAAAAAGCUUGUUACCAUCAAAUCAAGAAAAUUGACACAAACAGGCUUAAUAUGCUAAGUCAAAAACAAGAAUUUUAUAUAGUGUUCAUAGUCAGACAUUCAAAAUCUAAGUCAAAAUACAAGUAUUUACUUCAUAUAUACAGUUAUCUGUUUGAAUGAAAGUAUUUUUUUCUCAUUUACUAUUAUAAAAAUAUACAGUAUAUUACUUUUAUGAAAUAGAUUUUUUUUACACACCAGAACUCAUAGUCCAAUCAAAAUCCACCAAAGGUGACUAAAGGAAACUGUUGUGUGUAAAGAAAACACUUAUGUGAGUCCAUGUCAAUUAAACAGAAAAUGGCAUUUAAUUGACAAGUGUUAGUAAAAGGGAAAUGGACUUGCCCAAUAGAUAUAAGUUAAACUUAGCAGUGGAUUUUGAGGGGCUGUGAGGUACACCAUAGGUUUAAGAUAAUCAAGAAACAAAGCUGGCACCUACCAACACUUGUAGCGGGUGUCAUGCACAAUAUUGAGCCUGCCCAUCAUGCAUUGCAACAGGAAGGUGGAUUUGAAAAGGGAAAAGAAUUAAAACAUCCCAUCACACGUGUAAUUAGAAAAUUCAUUUGAACAAAGAAGAAAAAUUGUUAUUAUGGGAACAGUGGCAUGUAACUGUCAGCACAAUCAAAUCAUACAAUAGCACAGUGAUCAAUUAGAACUAGUCUCAAGUGAAGAAUAAAAGCCAGUUUAACUGUGUGCUGGUACACUUUGUUUCUCUUAAUUGUUGCCUAUAAACAAAAGUAUUUUGGAAGUAAUUUAAAUCCACUUAAUUCUUUUAAAAAUAAUAUUGUAAUUUGUUUUGUUUUAAUCUGAUUACUAACCAUCUGGUCGUUUUGCUAUUUCUGACUUUAACUUAUGAAUGCCUUAACAUUUUCUUUAUAUCAGGCACAUAUUAACUUACUAAAGAUAUUUAUUAUUAAAUACUAAAUAAUUCAAUGUACAAAACUGACUUAACAAUAUAAUGAAACCCAAACAUUCAUUUUCAUUCCUUUUGCUUUAUUUUCCUGUUCAUUGUAGCAGCAACCAUAUAAACAUGAAAGGGGUUGUAAUUAUUCAUACAGGAUUUGUAUUUGGAGGGAUGCCAAGCAAUAAAUUAUACAUAAAAAAGUGAAAUUUGUGCCUUUCCUUAGUUUGAAAUUAAAAUGUAGGAAAAGCAUUAAGGGGGAAUAUAAUUUCUUAUAAGUAUCAAAUUGGUUUACUUCACAGUAUCUAGGAAAUCAGAGUGGUUUUCAUUGCUGGUUUAGACCUUCAAGACUUCUGGGAGUAGCAAAUGUUCUACAAAAUUUCACACGCAAGAAACUGCUAAUUAGAGUUCAAUAAAAACCUUGAGUGGGAGAGAGUGAAAAUACAUACAUCACAUAUGGGGUGUUAGCACUGAUGCUGACAAUUGUUCAACCAUGAUAAGCAAAAAUAAAUGUUGCAUAUAUAGAUAGUCCUUGUUCUCUUUGACAUGUAAAUAUUGAAAAUUUAACUUAUUUUACCAAGUACAAGGCACUUUCCCAUAUGCAGAACUACUGUUCUUUCUAUGGGAUUAUUUUAGAAUUCUAGGUUUUAAAAUAUCCAAGGAUUUUAUAUUUCUAUCUAAAUCUUAGCAUAUCCUGUUUAAAUACUAGCAGCAUCUGGGACGAACAUUUGUUAGAAAAAUAUCUGCCAAAUGAAUCUCGUCAGAGAUGGCCCUAUAAAAUAAAGCUGCCAUUGAGAAACUCAGCUGAAACACGGAUUACUUAACUGGCAUCUCUGUAACAGCUGCGAUUAGUUUGUUAUCACAAUUAGACUGUGGGCAGAGUGAUCAACGAUUAAACUCUGUAAUGUAUCUGGGGACACAUCCUAUCAAGUGGAAUAAUAUUAUAUUGACAAGCAUUAAGACACUUGAAGAUCUCUGUCAUUUGCUACUACUACUGAGUCAAAGACUUGUGAAAGACAAACAGAAACAAGCCAGUAAUAACAAAGAAGUUAUAAUAAUUUGAGACAGUAGAGCAAGCAAAACUUAAUACCGGAUCUACAUCUUAUAAAAUCAUUACUGUCUUAAUGGUAGGGUGAGAGAAUUGGAAAAGAAAUGAUGAAUGAAAAAGAAUAAUGUGAUAAUUAAGUAAUAUUAAAGCCAGUUUAAAUAUUGUACAGGUUAUAUUUUUCAAUUAUUUAUUAUUAGGCUGAGACUUGCCUACUGUAUUUCAUCCCAUGCAUAAUUAAGUCUGCACAUGCUGAAAAUGAGUUAACCUUAUACUAUCUCUCUAAAAUCCUAAAGCUAUUAUGAUUUGAAUUUUAGUUUGAAUUAUCUUCCUCAUUAGCAUUAUAACCAAUGCACACAGUUUUGAGAGGGAUUUGCAGCAAAUAAACAUAAGGCAGCAAUGAAAAUACUAGCCAGGGUGCAAUAACUCACAAAUAUGAGGACAUAAUGCUGUAGGACCCACUUACCAAAAAUGAAAAUCACUUUUGAAAUGACCAUAGUUUCCAUCUUUACAUGGGUUGAUUUACUACUAAUAAUGUGCAAAUGGCCAAUUUAAAUUUUUCCUCAAUUUUCAGCACAAAGCAAAAUUUAAGUGAAUGUAUUUGUCAAUUUCCAAUUUCUCCUACAAAGAUAUUUGCAGAGCAGAAUGGUGUGCUUCUGAGAAAUGUGUUAUUUUAAUUGCAUGACCUUUUAAAUCAAAAAUUUUAAUUGAUAUGUAUGAAAAUGUAGGAAAAACUAGGAUGAUAAUUUACAAAUAAGAUGUAUGCAUACUUAAAAUUACUUGGAGUAGAAGGGAAGUAAGUAGAAGAGAGAAAAAGAAUUGUAAUGAAGAUUUAGUUGGAAGUUAGAAUUUCGAUGUAAUAAUUCAGUCCUAUUUAGGUUGAUUAUAAGAAGUAUUAGGCUGAUUAAGAUUUUCUAAAAAUAGUGUAUAUCAUUUUAAGACUAAAAGUUAACAAUCAGUUGGAUUAUUCUCAAAAUUGGUAUCCAAACAAGCAGUACCUUCUUUAUUUUUAUUAAUUAUAAGUAAUUUAUUAAUAUACAUAAUUAUAAAUGAUUAUAUGUAUUAAUGAUACUAAAUGUGACAAAUCUUUUUCUCUUCUUUGCAUAAACACAACCCUGCCUACCCCUGCCCUUAGACCUACACCACCACCUAAGAGUUUCCUGGCCUUUCGUUGCCUUAUUCUUGGUAGAGUUGUAAUACAAGCCAAAAUAGAAGUUGUUUAAAGUAAAUGUAUUUUCAGAACUGUUAAAACUCAUAAGCCAACACUGAUUGAGGGAGAUAUGCUAGAGAGGGAGACAAGAGGUGUGAUUCUGAAGAUGGUAGGUAAGCAAAAAUGGUGAUGGAGGGCAGAGAAAAAAAUUCCUCAAGAUUGAAGUGGCAGGCAGUGUGCAGCUCCACAGGUAGCUGGGUAGGUAGCCUGUUCUUUCACAAUAGCCCUGCAGACAUCAGGUCCUCAAGGGCAUGGGAGCCUGGAGGGCAUAGACAAGGAAGCCUAUAUCCAAGGCAAGCACAGAACCCCUGGAGUACCUGUCUUAAGAGCUCUUGCAAGCAUAGACAAUGAUCACAUCAGCAGUGAGCAGCGGUGACUGAAGCAUGAAGAAUGCAUAGCCUGUCUGAGAAUACUAGACUGUACAGGACCUCACAUUGAGGUAAGGUCAGGAAAGAGAGGGAGCUGGGGCAUGUAGUCCUGGAUUCCCAGUAAUGCCUGUUAUUUCUCUCAACCCAGGGAGAUAGAGAUCACAGUUCAGAGCUAGACUUAAUUUCAACGAAAAAAGAAAUGGUGUAAAGGAAAGUGGUAUUUCUUACACGCCGUAAUUUCAUGAGUGAAAACUCAUAUAUAUAACAUAAAUAGAUCCUAAAUUAUGCAUAAUAUCUACAAAUAAUCAAUCUGGUCCUGAAAGGGGAAGGUUAAAACAAGUAUAUAUCGAAAUUUGAAAAGACAAAACUUCAAUAUGAAUUUAACCUAAUACUUAUAUUUAUCUUUAAAUGAGGUGGAAGGUGUGAAACACCAUGGAGUUAGGUGUUCAGUAAGGGCUACUUCCACUCUCCCAAAUCAUUUUUAAGGUCUUCGUGUAAUAGAUAUUGAGAGACUAACCAAGUCAGCCUGACUUGAGUUCAAGUUGUACUUAAAUCUAAACCUUACAAAAGCCAUUUAACUUGGGACAAAUCACUGUACCUUACUAGGCUCCAAAUUACUCAUUCGUAAAAUGAAAAUAUUAAUGCCAACCUUCUGGGCGUUGUGAAAAAAAAUGAGAUAAUGUAGGCAAAGCACUCAGUGCAGCAGGGAACAAGAGCAACCAUUCAAUAAAACGUAGCUCUUUUGAACAAAAUAUCUGAAACAACCUGGCCUAAGGCAAUAGGGAAUUGUAGCGUUUGGAACUGAAGGGUACAGUAUGUGUCCUAUCUAAAGGAUUUACAUUUAGUUUUCAUUUAAACACUCUUAAACAAAAAUAUUUCUAGAUACUAGAUUUUACCCUUGAGCUAUCAGUUUGCAAUCCUUCACAUAAAUACUGGUAUACCAUGUGGCAUACAAUCAAUGUUUAUUGACUGAAUAAAUGGAAAGAUGGGUGGAUAGAUAAAUGGGGGGAUGAAUAGAUGGAUGGAAAACUGAAGGACAGAGGAAGGGAGGAAGGAAAAAAGGAUAAAGAGAGGAAAGGAAAGGGGAGAACAGAAUGAUAGGAGGAUGGAUGGAUGUAUGGUUGAAUGAUGCUUAGAUGGGUAAUGUCCAUAUUAAAUCCAAUUCUGUUCUUAAAAGUUAAAGUAUGUAGUAAUUUUUCUUAGCUAGCUGGCUGGCUUGUCACUGAACCCUGAUCUUUUGCCAGCAAACUACUCUAUACGCAGCCACCUGCUCUAAGAAUUUAGCUAACCAUGCUUCACUGUAAUUUGAAUAAAAUAUAUCUACACAUCUGAAGUUAUCAUUGAAACAACAGACUACAGACCACUAAAAUUCUGAGCUGCAAAAAAUAAAAGAAUUCCAUUUUCUUCCCAGUUCCAAUAAAGCCUUCAAAAGUGUACCUUCCAAAUUAUUAAAUUGUGUUCAGAUCGGAUUCCUUGAUCAUCUAAUUCUUCUGUAUUAUUUGUCUGCAGAACAACCAAACUUUGGAAAAUGAAAUUCCUUUUCUCCCAGGUAUUAGACAUGAGAUUACAUGUGAAUGUGUGGUAAGAUGAAUUUCCUUUAGUUCUCAAAGGGUGUUUUUAAAAAACUGAAUUGCCAAAAUUUAAAUAUUGAGAAAUUUCACAUAUAAACAUACAAAUGUCUAGAGUAUCUGGGAAAAAAUCAUAAGACCAUAAGACCUAGCAACACUGUAUGUCAGGGCUACUGUGUUAGGUUGUGCGGGUUUCUUACAACCAACCCUAUGAGGCAUAUACACAAUCAAUUGUGGUUUACACAGACUAUGAUAUAAAUGGAGCCACAAAGGGUUUGCAGUGGACAGCAAGUACAACCUGCCAGGCAGACAAUCCUCUGAGGCAACAAAAGGCAAAGUCUGAACAUUGACUAUACUCUUUAGACUGAGCCUGUGCUCCCCUGUGCCUCCCAGACCCCACAGCUCCCAAUUUAUUCUUGCUUCACUUGUGUUUCCUGCCUGGCCCCUGAGGCUUUUGCAUAUACAUUCCCUGCAUUAGACUUCUUUCCUUUCUGACUGUCUGACAAAGUGAUGGGGCAGAAAUAAUGAAGAGCUAUCCAUUUUAACCUUUUCAUGCCACAGCGUCAAUUUUUGUGAAUGCAGGUAUAUAUUAUAUAAUGAAAAUAUUUUAAAAUAAUCAUGGAGUCACUACCUACUUCUGAUUAUGUGAUUAAUAAAGGUCAACUUGCUGUUUCAGGCCCUUAUAACUGAGUUGCAAAUAAAUGUUAUUUUAUGUUACUAAUGCAAUAAUUUCACACUAUAUUGAUUAUAUUUGAGAAAUAUGUGUGUGUGUGUGUAUAUAUAUUUGUUGUUGUUGUUUUGUGUGGUUUUUUUUUUUUUUUUUUGAGAUGGAGUCUCACUCCUUUGCCCAAGCUGGAGUGCAGUGAUGUGAUCUUGGCUCACUGCUCCGCCUCCCAGGUUCAAGGGAUUCUCCUGCCUCAACCUCCCAAGUAGCUGGGAUUACAGGCAUGCAUCACCACAUCCGGCUAAUUUUUGGAUUUUUAGUAGAGAUGGGGUUUCGCCAUGUUGGCCACGCUGGCCUCAAACUCCUGACCUCAAGUGAGCCACCUGCCUCGGCCUCCCAAAGUGCUAGGAUUACAGGCAUGAGUCACUGCGCCUGGCCAAUAUUUGAGAAAUAUUGAUCAAGAAUAGAAUAUCUCUGAUGCAAAAUGCAUCAUAAUAAAUGCAAAUAUAUCUUAAAAUUUUCAGCAUAUUUCAAUUAAUGCAGAUUUUAUUUAAAUUAGCAAUGCUUAACCUAGCACAGAGAGACAAGUUUGAUUCUGAUUUAUGAAUGAGUUUAUUAUUUUCCCUAAUUUGAACUUUAUCUAGCAUCUUUGGCUCUAUCCACAGACAAAAAGCUAUUCUAGGGAGACACUAGUGUCACAAGUAAGGGUCAUCAUACCAUGUAAUUGGUUAUACUUAUUUAGAAAAAAAACUAUAGUCAUUUGAGAGUUGUUGAAAAAACUAAUGUGAAACCUAUUUGAUAAAACAGAUUUUUUCAGCUUUCUUUAAAUAGCACAGAUUUGUUUUUUAGACUUUAGUAGAGAAACUAUCAUAUUUUUUAAGACUAGUCAAGUGCAGCAGUGAGAAGACAGCAAUGAGUAGAACGAGGAGUUCAAUCUGUAACUGACUGUGAACAAUCUAUUGAGAUAACUCACUACCUCUGGUCUAGCUGAAACGGUCAUUUAUCAUGGUAAUGUUUUAGCCAAUAAAAUAAACUGACAAAAAUAAGUUUUAAUUUCUUCAAAGAGAUUAUGAUAGUUACAUAUAAUCCCUUGAAACUUUGCUCAUCUGACUAUAGAAAAACUGAUGGAUUGUUUGUUGGGGGCAGCGAAAAUCUAGGGACACAGCAACUUGCACAAGAGCAAAAAGAUUAAUUUCUGAAAAACUAUGCAUGUUGAGAAGAAAGUUAUAAUAUUACAAAACAUAAGAGAAAUGUGAGGCUGCAGGUCAAAAUGAUUUAGUUUUUGUUCCAAUAUGGGCAAACUGCAAUUUGAAAGAUACUAUUUCACAAGUACAAAUAUCAUUUUAUCCACGUGUCUGGGGCACUGGCUAUUUCAGCUAGUGGAAUAUUGUAGUUAAUUGUUACUUCGUAUUUAUUUUACAUAUGGAUGACUGAUUUUCAAAUAUGUACUGUAUAAAACUUAUGGUUAGUAUUAAAAGCUCAUAUAAUUUAUUUUGUGAAUCAAAAAUAAAUUCACAUUCUCUUAUAGCAUUAUGAACCUAAUACACUGUAAAUACUGCCAGUAUAGUCUAAUAUAAAAUUGGGAGCUGGAUUUUUGACAUAUAUAUCUACUCAUUAAUUUAAUUAAUAAAAUAAUUUUAUUAAGUAAGUCUCUAAAACCAUGGUAUUCUGAAAAUAAGGGUGAAGCAAUAAAGAGGAAAGUGAGAUUUGAGUUUCUGGUUAGUAAAAUUCCAGAUAAUAAUGAGCUUAUAUGUAUUUUCUGAAGUAAGUUCAGAGUGAAUAAAAAGAGUAAAUUUCCAGGUAAUUAAAUGAGUAGCUAGUCUGUGUUUUAAACUUUGCAAUCUGUGUGAAUAAUUCUAGAUUAUGUAUACAUUACCAAAUUGAAAAUAAGCUGAAACCACAAAUGUAGAACUCCAUAAUAAAUUAAACAUUGCUGAGCACUUAGGGUUAUUUCAAUAUUAGCUUAGGAACAGUCAUAAUUUUAAACAGUGUACUGAUUGAUGCCAAUAAGAGCCCUUUUUAAGAGCUCUAGAACGCAUAGUUGUUUUCAUUCUUGACCUUGAAAACAAAAAGGCUGAAAAAUAAAAAUCAAAACUGAAAGUGCUGUUUUAUAUAAUUUAAAUUAACUCUAUGGAAUAAUGAAGGCAAAGGGGUCUUACAGCAAGAAAGUAUCAUAAAAUAGCUUGACAGACAUAUAUAAGUGUUGAGGAAAGAGAAAAAAAGAGAACUAUAUUUCAUUUCCAAAUUACACAAACACAAAUAAAUAUAUAAAAUACCACUGAUCUUUAAUCCACAUUUCAUUAAGCUACAAUCCUUAGUUUUUAAGGAAAACCACAUGAGAUACCUCAGAUAAGUUUCCAUCAUUGACCACCUUACCUGACACCUCAUCUAUAAUUACAAACAAACUUGGGGUGUGGUUUAUCUGCUCUAACAGUAGGACUCUCUGUAGAUCAUCAGAUUCAUUUAUUAAGAAACCCCACCCCUUACCUGGUGGGAGAAAUGCUGUAUGCUGUUGUAACUGCAUGUUGGCUAGAGCCUGUUGGUAUUGGAAAAUACCAGUGUUAAAGACUGCGGUGGCACCGUUGGUUUUUUCAAGAGCAGGCCUCUUUGGUAAUGGGGGAAGUACAGCUUGAGGAAUUCCCUGUUUAGUGAAUGAGUAUAAAAAACAAAUACCAGUAAAAAGAGAAAAAGAAAAAAGAAAAAUCAGUCGAAGGCUAAAAUUGUUAGGAAGCAUGAGCAAGCAAGCAGCAGAGCACUUAACUACCCGAGGGAAAAAAUCCAAUGAACAAAAAAUUAAGGAGGAAAAAAAAAAAAAAAGCAAGAUAAAAGCUUUAAAGGAAGCAUUAUUUUUGUCCAAAACAAAAUCUCACUAGUACAAGAGCACAUGUUAUAAUGUGUUAAAGUGCUUUAUGUCCCAUAAUGCUUCAGGCUUUCUGUGAGAAGCCAUUGAUUUGGGAAAAGAAGAAAAGCCGCACUGCGAGCUCCAUGAGGAUUGACAAGUAUAAGCAAUGUUAAUAGUUAAUUGUACAGAGUGACUGAAACAGAUAAAAUAAAAACUAACCCACUCUGCUCCUCCCCCCAGAUCUACCUAGACAUGCAAAUGUCCCAGAGCAUGCAAGUUUUUUUCCUUAAAUACUGAACUAUAAAUAUUAAAAUGUAAAUAAUUCUACCACUAAAGCCAUGCUAACCAAACAGGUACAUAAAUAUACAGUCAAAAAUACACUCUUUAUGUCCUCCGACUAUUUCUUCAGAACAUUCUACAAUGUAGUUAAACUGAAUGUGGGCUGCUGGGCUUUCAGAAUCUUUUAUUGUAUGAUAUCCAUCUAUGUACUUAGAUUAUAGUCUUUCUACUAAUUUUGUCAGGAAACCACACUCAGUUUUUUCAUUGUACUUUACAACUCUAUAACAGAAAAAAGGAUAUAUAUUUUAAAGUUGAUUUAAAAAAAAAACUUGUAUCUACAAUAAAGCUACAUGCCAAGCUAAAAGGUGAAAGGUCAUAGUACCAGGUCAAAGGUUGCCUCGAGGGGUCGCUUCAGUGAUUUGACAGCCGACUGAGUCUUAAUUAGCAGGCAGCGAGCACAUGAUGGCAAUGGGCCAGUGGGGUUCAAGCGCAUUAACAUAAACAGCAAGCAGAGGUGCAUCAUGGGGGCAGCAGUGCAUUUUUGGGUAGGUGAGAAAAAACAAAUAAAAAAACAAAUCAUCGGAAUGCCAUAUACAACGAAUAACAAGACUAAGCAUGCACAAUAAAGGCACUACUGAGUUGUUAUUGGGAGGAUAACUCCUCUUUGUAGUUAAUUACAAACAAGAUACUCUAACAGAAAAAAAAAAGAGUGAAAGGAAGAGAGGAGGAGAGAGUCUGCCUUCUGUAUUUUUGCUCAAGUAUCCAUAAACACAGAAAAGAUCUCUCUCGUGAUUAUUUCACUGUGUUAUGAAAUACUACACAGUGACUUUUAAAAUGAGUAUUUCAUUGAUUUAAGUCAUAUAUUUAUGUAAAAAAAUGACAACAUUAAAACAGGUAAGCAAAGAACAAAGAAUGGGCUCAUUAAAAUCAGCUACUAGAUCACAUUAAAAUUUACCUUGAGAAUAUAGUUUAGUAGCUAUUCUUAAUGAUCCAAUUUCUAACUCCUUGAGUACUGCUGUCUCUCUCCUGUCUAUAUAAUGGCAUAGUCAAGCUUCUCUAGUGUUACUAUUAUGUUUAUGCCACAAUAUUAUUUCAGACAAUCUAGAUAGUAUACUACUCAAAAUCCUGUAGCUAAUUCUAAGAACAAUUUUGUUGAACAAUUCUCCUAAAUAGUUCCAGAUCAUGUUAUUGUUAAAAGCAAGAUAUAUGUAAAGAAGAGCCUUGAUGUGCAAAAGAACACACCAAAGGAAAACAAUGGCUGAUUAGAUGGCACACAGAAAUAAGAAGACUGAAAAUGGCAAUAUCGUUAAGUUGAAAAGGAGACAGGUGGUUCUUUACAAAGCAGAGAUUUCAGAAACCCUACAUCCACAAUAAGACAGAUUAAGAGUUAGGCCAAGAGUAGGAGCAAUCUGAACCAUUUGAGGAGUUACCCUCACUUCUGUGAAAGUAACUUCUUUAUAUAUUGUCUGGGAUACCUGAACAAACAUAUCUUCAGCAAUUUUUUUAAAAAGGUUACUAAAUGAAUAGCUUGUAGUCAGAUAUAGUUGCUCACUUUGCUUUUCUGACUGCUAACAAGGAGAGAGCUGAUAUCUCUACUCACCAUGGCAGCUGCGGUGGCUGCAGCCUGUGCAGCUGCAGCCUGGUUGACCUGGUAUUGGGCAGCCUUGAUCUUGGCUUGCAAAUGUGCAGGGGGAUGAAAGUAUUUGCACUUUUCCCGAGAGCAUCUCCCUUUGAUGUAAUCCAUACACACAGUGACUGUGUUGUCAUUGGUGUCAAUCAUUGUGCUGUCAGCAGGAUGAGCAAACCGACAAUCAUUUUCUCCUCGGUUGCAAUUGCCACGUUGGUACUCUCGACAUACCUAUGAGGUCAUUAAGUACAUGAGGUUUAGUCAACAUGAAGAAGAAGAAGCUUUCUGAAGAUUUUAACUUAAAGUGCAAGACUGGUGACAGAAGGCUAUAGAUGAAAAGGGAAAAUGAUUUUCAAACAAGGCAACAAGUAACUUCAGCAUUUCCUAGUUUAGUUACAAAUUAUAACUCCAUUUCAGUAUAAAUGUCCAUAAGAAAAUGCAUGUAUAAUGUUAAUUAUGGUAAAAAUACAAUCUGAAAUGGUGUUGAUAAACUUAUUAAUUGCAAAGGGAAAAAUAAUAACUUCACAGUAAAGAAACAUGGAAAACAUCACUUUAACCAAGUGAUCAAAAUUAAUAUCACCAAUAAUGA
rnacentral:lncRNA from 10 species